CCGAUACCCCACGUUCAACCUCACCAUUUUUAGUCUCCCAGCCUGUAUACUUCCGUCGCCAGCUUACCGCGUGAGCGAAUUCAGUAAGCUCAAUGUAAACCACCAAAACGUCAGGUCAAAGUGCAGCAUAUAAAAUGGCAAGAGAUGGGCUACACUCUCUACUUUAGAGGAUACGAAAGACUAUGUGAAAUCAUACUCAGAAGGUGGAUUUAGCAGUAAGAAGGCGAUAGAAUACCCCUCUUAAGCUGGCACUGGGGUGUGUACACACCGCCCGUCACCCUCUUCAACUAACUACCCCUCGUACUUAACAAAACUCACCACUAUAGAAGAGGUAAGUCGUAACAUGGUAAGUA
rnacentral:rRNA from 1 species